UACGGAGGGUGCGAGCGUUGUCCGGAAUCACUGGGCGUAAAGGGCGCGUAGGCGGCCCGGUAAGUAGGGGGUGAAAUCUUGCGGCUCAACCGCAAGGCUGCCUUCUAAACUGCCAGGCUCGAGCACAGUAGAGGCAGGUGGAAUUCCCGGUGUAGCGGUGGAAUGCGUAGAGAUCGGGAAGAACAUCGGUGGCGAAGGCGGCUCUCUGGACCGACACUGACGCUGAGGCGCGAAAGCGUGGGGAGCAAACAGG
rnacentral:rRNA from 1 species